rnacentral:rRNA from 1 species
UGAGGAAUAUUGGACAAUGGGCGAAAGCCUGAUCCAGCAAUGCCGCGUGCAGGAUGAAGGCCUUCGGGUUGUAAACUGCUCUUGUACGGAACGAAAAAGCUUCUCCUAAUACGAGAGGCCCAUGACGGUACCGUAAGAAUAAGCACCGGCUAACUACGUGCCAGCAGCCGCGGUAAUACGUAGGGUGCGAGCGUUAAUCGGAAUUACUGGGCGUAAAGCGUGCGCAGGCGGUUAUGUAAGACAGAUGUGAAAUCCCCGGGCUCAACCUGGGAACUGCAUUUGUGACUGCAUUGCUAGAGUACGGUAGAGGGGGAUGGAAUUCCGCGUGUAGCAGUGAAAUGCGUAGAUAUGCGGAGGAACACCGAUGGCGAAGGCAAUCCCCUGGACCUGUACUGACGCUCAUGCACGAAAGCGUGGGGAGCAAACA